UACAGAGGUCUCAAGCGUUGUUCGGAUUCAUUGGGCGUAAAGGGUGCGUAGGCGGCGCGGUAAGUCGGGUGUGAAAUCUUGGAGCUUAACUCCGAAACUGCAUUCGAUACUGCCGUGCUUGAGGACUGGAGAGGAGACUGGGAAUUUACGGUGUAGCGGUGAAAUGCGUAGAUAUCGUAAGGAAGACCAGUGGCGGAAGGCGGGUCUCUGGACAGUUCCUGACGCUGAGGCACGAAGGCCAGGGGAGCAAACGGG
rnacentral:rRNA from 1 species